GGCGCUGUGGUGUAGUGGAAUCAUUCCUGCUUUGGGUUACACAAAUGCAGGAGGUAAGACUGUCCAGGGAGUUGCAUGAAGCCGUCUCAUCAGUCUCUAACGAUUUCCCAGGUCUCCGGUUCGAACCCGGACAGCGCCC